CGGUGGUGGAUUUGAUCUCUUUGCUCAGAGACGAUCCUUUAGGAGCAUCGCUACCUCCUCCUUUCCCUCCUUUCUUCGCUUUGCUAGCUGCUGCUGCAAACGUUCUCCGCACCACAUCCUUGGAUCCUCCCGUUAUCAAUCCAAUACGGUAAUUCAUUUCUCCUGAAAAAGAAAUUAGGGUUUAUGCAAGCAACGAAUUACGAUUCAAAUCUUACACAAAAGGUUUCAUCUAUCAGUGGAUCAACGUAGGCAUUGGUGAAGGGAGGAAAUGGAAGAACUUACUUGGGAGUUUCAGAGAGCGAACGCGGCGGAGAUUAGAGAGAGUGAGGAAGAAACACAAUCAACCAACCAACCAACGACGCUUUUCCUUUUGGGUUUUCU
rnacentral:lncRNA from 1 species